GGAGAGAAGAGCUCAGUGGUAGAGUGCACGUUUAGCAUGCAUGAGGUCCUAGGUUCACUCCCUAGUACCUCCA
rnacentral:tRNA from 1 species